rnacentral:rRNA from 1 species
AUUGAACGCUAGCGGGAUGCUUUACACAUGCAAGUCGAACGGCAGCGCGGACUUCGGUCUGGCGGCGAGUGGCGAACGGGUGAGUAAUGUAUCGGAACGUGCCCAGUAGCGGGGGAUAACUACGCGAAAGCGUAGCUAAUACCGCAUACGCCCUACGGGGGAAAGCAGGGGAUCGUAAGACCUUGCACUAUUGGAGCGGCCGAUAUCGGAUUAGCUAGUUGGUGAGGUAACGGCUCACCAAGGCGACGAUCCGUAGCUGGUUUGAGAGGACGACCAGCCACACUGGGACUGGGACACGGCCCAGACUCCUACGGAAGGCAGCAGUGGGGAAUUUUGGACAAUGGGGGCAACCCUGAUCCAGCCAUCCCGCGUGUGCGAUGAAGGCCUUCGGGUUGUAAAGCACUUUUGGCAGGAAAGAAACGUCGCGGGCUAAUACCCCGUGGAACUGACGGUACCUGCAGAAUAAGCACCGGCUAACUACGUG